ACACAUGCAAGUCGAACGCCUGUANCAAUACAGGAGUGGCAGACGGGUGAGUAACACGUGGGAACGUGCCCUUCGGUUCGGAAUAACCCAGGGAAACUUGGGCUAAUACCGGAUACGUCCGCAAGGAGAAAGAUUUAUCGCCGAAGGAUCGGCCCGCGUCCGAUUAGCUAGUUGGUGAGGUAACGGCUCACCAAGGCGACGAUCGGUAGCUGGUCUGAGAGGAUGAUCAACCACACUGGGACUGAGACACGGCCCAGACUCCUACGGGAGGCAGCAGUGGGGAAUAUUGGACAAUGGGCGCAAGCCUGAUCCAGCCAUGCCGCGUGAGUGAUGAAGGCCCUAGGGUUGUAAAGCUCUUUCGGCGGGGAAGAUAAUGACGGUACCCGCAGAAGAAGCCCCGGCUAACUUCGUGCCAGCAGCCGCGGUAAUACGAAGGGGGCUAGCGUUGCUCGGAAUCACUGGGCGUAAAGCGCUCGUAGGCGGAUUGUUUAGUCGGGGGUGAAAUCCUGGAGCUCAACUCCAGAACUGCCUUCGAUACUGGCAAUCUU
rnacentral:rRNA from 1 species